rnacentral:rRNA from 1 species
AAGUCGGACGGACACCUUCGGGUGUCAGUGGCGGACGGGUGAGUAACGCGUAGGAAUCUACCCCUAGGAGGGGGAUAACAGCUGGAAACGGCUGCUAAUACCCCAUACAGGCGCGAGCUGAAAGGAGCAAUCCGCCUAGGGAUGAGCCUGCGUCGGAUUAGCUAGUUGGUGGGGUAAUGGCCUACCAAGGCGACGAUCCGUAGCGGGUCUGAGAGGAUGGCCCGCCACACUGGGACUGAGACACGGCCCAGACUCCUACGGGAGGCAGCAGUGGGGAAUUUUCCGCAAUGGGCGAAAGCCUGACGGAGCAAUACCGCGUGAGGGAAGAAGGCCUUCGGGUUGUAAACCUCUUUUCUGGGGGACGAA